rnacentral:rRNA from 1 species
CAGCAGCCGCGGUAAUUCCAGCUCCAAUAGCGUAUAUUAAAGUUGUUGCAGUUAGAACGCUCGUAGUCGGAUUUCGGGGCGGUCCGACCGGUCUGCCGAUGGGUACGCACUGGUCGGCGCGUCCUUCCUUCCGGAGACCGUGCCUACUCUUAACUGAGCGGGUGCGGGAGACGGAUCGUUUACUUUGAAAAAAUCAGAGUGUUUCAAGCAGGCAGCUCGCUCUUGCAUGGAUUAGCAUGGGAUAAUGAAAUAGGACUUUGGUGCUAUUUUGUUGGUUUCGAACACCGAAGUAAUGAUUAACAGGGACAGUCAGGGGCACUCGUAUUCCGCCGAGAGAGGUGAAAUUCUUAGACCAGCGGAAGACGAACUACUGCGAAAGCAUUUGCCAGGGAUGUUUUCACUGAUCAAGAACGAAAGUUAGGGGAUCGAAGAGGAUCAGAUACCCUCGUAGUCUUAACCAUAAACCAUGCCGACUAGGGAUUGGGGGAUGUUCACAUAUCGACUCCCUCAGCACCUUACGGGAAACUAAAGUCUUUGGGUUCCGGGGGGAGUAUGGUCGCAAGGCUGAAACUUAAAGGAAUUGACGGAAGGGCACCACCAGGUGUGGAGCCUGCGGCUUAAUUUGACUCAACACGGGGAAACUUACCAGGUCCAGACAUUGUGAGGAUUGACAGAUUGAGAGCUCUUUCUUGAUUCGAUGGGUGGUGGUGCAUGGCCGUUCUUAGUUGGUGGAGUGAUUUGUCUGGUUAAUUCCGUUAACGAACGAGACCUUAGCCUGCUAAAUAGUGACGCGAACACUUCGUUGGCGGUCCACUUCUUAGAGGGACAACUUGUCUUCAACAAGUGGAAGUUUGAGGCAAUAACAGGUCUGUGAUGCC